rnacentral:rRNA from 1 species
CCUACGGGGGGCAGCAGUGGGGAAUAUUGGACAAUGGGCGAAAGCCUGAUCCAGCCAUGCCGCGUGUGUGAAGAAGGUCUUCGGAUUGUAAAGCACUUUAAGUUGGGAGGAAGGGCUGCUGGUUAAUACCCUGCAGUUUUGACGUUACCAACAGAAUAAGCACCGGCUAACUUCGUGCCAGCAGCCGCGGUAAUACGAAGGGUGCAAGCGUUAAUCGGAAUUACUGGGCGUAAAGCGCGCGUAGGUGGUUCGUUAAGUUGGAUGUGAAAGCCCCGGGCUC